AUAUAGAAUGUACAAAAUGUAACCUCAUAUUUACAAAAGUUUUUUAUUUCAAACACAUGAUGCGGCAUCCCAUCAUUGUAAGGCCAUAUAAAUUUGUAAAAGUAACACAUUCAGCAAUUAAGUUUAGAAACUAAAAUAUAAACGUUACACAAAUCUUUUCAAACUAACCCAUAAGAUUAGAAAAAGUUGUCGUAAUCUAUAUAAAUAUGUUUGUUAUAUGUUGUAAUCACAUGUACAUUUGUACAUGCGGGGUUUAACUUAAAAGUAAUAUACUGCUUUUAACUAGUAAAUCUGACGAUUACCUGAAAAAUUCUCACUGGAUCAUACCAAUGCAAAGCUCUAGGGUUGGCAUAAAUAACAUCGAUGAUGAUUCAAUGUACAAAUGUAGGUGACCAAAGGAGUUGAGUUAGUGGCGUUAUGAGUCGUGAAUCCAGUCCAGUCUGGUAACCCAUCUGUAAAAACUAGUGUGUCCUUGUUGUCCAAGUCUCUGGUCCAACUGUUCAACCUUGGCCGUGUUCUG
rnacentral:lncRNA from 1 species